AGGGGUAUAGUGUUAACGGUUAGCACGUCGGUCUCCAAAACCGAAAGUUCGGGUUCGAAUCCUGAUACCCCUGCCA
rnacentral:tRNA from 1 species